rnacentral:rRNA from 1 species
AACGAACGCUGGCGGCGUGCCUAACACAUGCAAGUCGAGCGGUAAGGCCCUUUCGGGGGUACACGAGCGGCGAACGGGUGAGUAACACGUGGGUGACCUGCCCUUAGCUCUGGGAUAAGCCUGGGAAACUGGGUCUAAUACCGGAUAUGACUCCAUGACGCAUGUUGUGGGGUGGAAAGCCUUGUGCGGCUAGGGAUGGGCCCGCGGCCUAUCAGCUUGUUGGUGGGGUGAUGGCCUACCAAGGCGACGACGGGUAGCCGGCCUGAGAGGGCGACCGGCCACACUGGGACUGAGACACGGCCCAGACUCCUACGGGAGGCAGCAGUGGGGAAUCUUGCGCAAUGGGCGAAAGCCUGACGCAGCGACGCCGCGUGAGGGAUGACGGCC